rnacentral:rRNA from 1 species
UACGUAGGGGGGCAAGCGUUGUCCGGAUUUAUUGGGCGUAAAGAGCGUGUAGGCGGCCAGGUAGGUCAGCUGUGAAAACUCGAGGCUCAACCUCGAGACGCCGGUUGAAACCAUCUGGCUAGAGUCCGGAAGAGGAGAGUGGAAUUCCUGGUGUAGCGGUGAAAUGCGCAGAUAUCAGGAAGAACACCCGUGGCUAAGGCGGCUCUCUAGUACGGUACUGACGCUGAGACGCGAAAAGCGUGGGGGAGCGAACAGGG